UAAAACACACAUGAUAAAUUAUUUAGCGCUACUGGGAUUACAAUAUGUUUUUUUUUUUUUUAAAUCAGGGAAAACAAAGAAUGCUCCAUGCUGAAGGCAGGACUGUUUGCAGAGCUUCAGAGAAGCGUUUUGAUGCUAAAUACAGAGAGAAGAGAUUGAGAGAGAGAGAGAGAGAGACCAAGAGAGGGAGAGGGAAAGAGAGAUCUGCAAACUGCUUAUGCAAGAAUAAUUGCUGUGUGUGCGGAAGCCCACCUGGCCUGACGGAGCGCGGAGGAGAGAGUGCAGGAGGAGGAGGAGGAGGAGACGACGCAGGAAUGCUCCUGACACGCGAGGUGCACCGGAGACGUUACCGUGGCGUGGUCCUCGCUAGUGUUCCUGCAGUGGCAUCUCACAGAUGCUGUGACAACGCUGCCCCAGUUACUGUUCCGAGGCGCUUGCGUCUGAAGAUCAUAUCUCUGCUUGCUUCCCAGCCACCAAAAAUCUUAUCUGAUGCCGUCAUGCACGCACAAAAAAAAGACAUCUUCUUGUUCAUGUUCUCAUACGUUCCUAUAUUGUGUUCCAGACACAAGUGAAUGUUAUAUAAUUUGCUCUUAAGCAUUAUGUAUGAAGUUCGACACAGAUUUCAGCUUCAGAUUAAUGCCUUUCAACGUGUCCACAAUGGGUUUCAG